rnacentral:rRNA from 1 species
UGAUACGGUGAAUACGUUCCCGGACCUUUUACACACCGCCCGUCAAGCCAUGGAAGCUGGGUGUACCUAAAGUCGGUAACCGUAAGGAGCCGCCUAGGGUAAAACUAGUAACUGGGGCU